rnacentral:pre_miRNA from 1 species
UUUUAUGGAUGAGCAAAGAAGCUAGUUUCUUGAGAUAGAAUCUAUAUUUGGUGAAGAUGCUGUGAA